AUGGUAAACAAUAAUCCAUGGUAACUUUUUGCAGGAUCAUUUUCUUCUUCUUUGUGUUGUGUGGCUCAGGGUGUUUGAGUCUCAACAUUAUCUACAAUGGCCUAUAAAAUUGAACCAAUCACCCUCUCAAAAUAAAAUAAUCGGUGUUGCGAGGAAAUGCAACUUAGUUGUCUACGAGCAAUCACUCCUCCACCCUGCGUUGCGUGUUUCUCUCUCAGCUCAACUCUCUCUCUCUCUCUCUCUCUUGGACUCUCUCCCCGAUCGAACCCGCACACACCCACGGACACCCAAAGUGGCACCCCGGCAACACCACCACCACCCUCGCCCUCGCGAGGAUCUCCCCUCCCUCUUCCCCGUCUCAGUGAAGCUCGGUGAAGCCCAGAAACCCAGGAGAUCUCCGGCGAAACCCCGUGACUCUCCAGCGAAAAUCCGGCCACUUCCCGGCCACCACUCGUCGUGAAACAGUUGUGACUAUUUCUGAGUCUCAACGGGUCAAGCUUCCAAAUUUCCAAGGAACAAGUCUUUGACCGUUGAUCUUCCCUUCGUUGAGUCUGUAUUUGUUGAUCACAAGCAGAGUUAGAUUUGAACUUCCAUUUCUGCACCUCAAUAUUGCUCAAAAGCGGUUCGUUCUUUCGUUGAUUGCUCGGAGUAAUCCUCGCUCUUAACAUGGCACUCGGAGAGGUUUUUCUUGUGGCGUUUCUACAGUUGCUGCUCGACAGGUUGACCCCUCGCGAGAUUCUUGAGUACGUGGGCAAUUUCCGGGGCGUCGGGCAGAAGCUGGAGAAGUGGAGGACCACGUUGUCUACAAUUGGAGCGGUGAUGAGCGACGCUGAGGAAAGGCAACUGACUGAAGGUGGUGUGAAACUGUGGCUGGAUGAUCUCAGAGACCUGGCUUAUGAUAUCGAAGACAUGUUGGACAAAUUUGCCACUCAAAUGUUGAAGCGCAUGAUAGAGGGACGUGAUCAAGCCAGCCCAAGCAGGAAGGUA